UACUUAUGGUGCGGUAGUUA
rnacentral:siRNA from 1 species